CGAACGAAGAGUUUGAUCCUGGCUCAGGAUGAACGCUGACAGAAUGCUUAACACAUGCAAGUCGACUCGAGUCUUCGGACUUGGGUGGCGCACGGGUGAGUAACGCGUAAAGAACUUGCCUCUUAGACCGGGACAACAUCUGGAAACGGAUGCUAAUACCGGAUAUUAUGGUUUUUUCGCAUGGAGGAAUCAUGAAAGCUAGAUGCGCUAAGAGAGAGCUUUGCGUCCCAUUAGCUAGUUGGUGAGGUAACGGCCCACCAAGGCAAUGAUGGGUAGCCGGCCUGAGAGGGUGAACGGCCACAAGGGGACUGAGACACGGCCCUUACUCCUACGGGAGGCAGCAGUGGGGAAUAUUGGACAAUGGACCGCAAGUCUGAUCCAGCAAUUCUGUGUGCACGAUGACGUUUUUCGGAAUGUAAAGUGCUUUCAGUCGGGAAGAAGUCAGUGACGGUACCGACAGAAGAAGCGACGGCUAAAUACGUGCCAGCAGCCGCGGUAAUACGUAUGUCGCAAGCGUUAUCCGGAUUUAUUGGGCGUAAAGCGCGUCUAGGCGGCAAGGAAAGUCUGAUGUGAAAAUGCGGAGCUCAACUCCGUAUGGCGUUGGAAACUGCCUUACUAGAGUACUGGAGAGGUAGGCGGAACUACAAGUGUAGAGGUGAAAUUCGUAGAUAUUUGUAGGAAUGCCGAUGGGGAAGCCAGCCUACUGGACAGAUACUGACGCUAAAGCGCGAAAGCGUGGGUAGCAAACAGGAUUAGAUACCCUGGUAGUCCACGCUGUAAACGAUGAUUACUAGGUGUUGGGGGUCAAACCUCAGCGCCCAAGCUAACGCGAUAAGUAAUCCGCCUGGGGAGUACGUACGCAAGUAUGAAACUCAAAGGAAUUGACGGGGACCCGCACAAGCGGUGGAGCAUGUGGUUUAAUUCGACGCAACGCGAGGAACCUUACCAGCGUUUGACAUCCUACGAACGGAGCAGAGAUGCGCCGGUGCCCUUUCGGGGGAACGUAGUGACAGGUGGUGCAUGGCUGUCGUCAGCUCGUGUCGUGAGAUGUUGGGUUAAGUCCCGCAACGAGCGCAACCCCUAUCGUAUGUUACCAUCCUUCAGUUGGGGACUCAUGCGAUACUGCCUGCGACGAGCAGGAGGAAGGUGGGGAUGACGUCAAGUCAUCAUGCCCCUUAUACGCUGGGCUACACACGUGCUACAAUGGG
rnacentral:rRNA from 1 species